UCCGUAGGCGGGCAAUUAAGUCAGAGGUGAAAUCCCACAGCUCAACUGUGGAACUGCCUUUGAUACUGGUUGUCUUGAGUUACAGUGAAGUAGAUAGAAUAUGUAGUGUAGCGGUGAAAUGCAUAGAUAUUACAUAGAAUACCGAUUGCGAAGGCAGCUCACUAAGUAUAUACUGACGCUGAUGGACGAAAGCGUGGGGAGCGAACAGGAUUAGAUACCCUGGUAGUCC
rnacentral:rRNA from 1 species